rnacentral:rRNA from 1 species
AUUGAACGCCGGCGGCAGGCCUAACACAUGCAAGUCGAGCGGAUGAAGGGAGCUUGCUCCUGGAUUCAGCGGCGGACGGGUGAGUAAUGCCUAGGAAUCUGCCUGGUAGUGGGGGAUAACGUCCGGAAACGGGCGCUAAUACCGCAUACGUCCUGAGGGAGAAAGUGGGGGAUCUUCGGACCUCACGCUAUCAGAUGAGCCUAGGUCGGAUUAGCCAGUUGGUGGGGUAAAGGCCUAGCAAGGCGACGAUCCGUAACUGGUCUGAGAGGAUGAUCAGUCACACUGGAACUGAGACACGGUCCAGACUCCUACGGGAGGCAGCAGUGGGGAAUAUUGGACAAUGGGCGAAAGCCUGAUCCAGCCAUGCCGCGUGUGUGAAGAAGGUCUUCGGAUUGUAAAGCACUUUAAGUUGGGAGGAAGGGCAGUAAGUUAAUACCUUGCUGUUUUGACGUUACCAACAGAAUAAGCACCGGCUAACUUCGUG